CUCCGGAACGAUAGAACGCAGCAAAAUGCAAAUAUGGAGACGCACCCAAAAAGGUGCCGGGGCUU
rnacentral:tRNA from 1 species